AUUGAACGCUGGCGGAAUGCUUUACACAUGCAAGUCGAGCGGCAGCACGGGGGCAACCCUGGUGGCGAGCGGCGAACGGGCGAGUAAUACAUCGGAACAUGCCCAGUCGUGGGGGAUAACACUUCGAAAGAAGUGCGAAUACCGCAUACGUCCUGAGGGAGAAAGCGGGGGAUCACAAGACCUCGCGCGAUUGGAGUGGCCGAUGUCAGAUUAGCUAGUUGGUGGGGUAAAGGCCUACCAAGGCAACGAUCUGUAGCUGGUCUGAGAGGAUGAUCAGCCACACUGGGACUGAGACACGGCCCAGACUCCUACGGGAGGCAGCAGUGGGGAAUUUUGGACAAUGGGCGCAAGCCUGAUCCAGCCAUGCCGCGUGAGUGAAGAAGGCCUUCGGGUUGUAAAGCUCUUUCGGCAGGAACGAAACGGCGAGCUCUAACAUAGCUUGGUAAUGACGGUACCUGAAGAAGAAGCACCGGCUAACUACGUG
rnacentral:rRNA from 1 species